rnacentral:rRNA from 1 species
ACCCGCUGAACUUAAGCAUAUCAAUAAGCGGAGGAAAAGAAACCAACCGGGAUUGCCUCAGUAACGGCGAGUGAAGCGGCAGGAGCUCAAAUUUGAAAUCGGGUCGCCCCUGGGGCCCGAGUUGUAAUUUGGAGAAGGGUCUUCGGGCGCGUCCCCCGUCUAAGUUCCCUGGGACGGGACGUCGCAGAGGGUGAGAAUCCCGUAUGGGACGGGGCGACGUCGCCCGCGCGAAGCCCUUUCGACCGGUCCCGACGCCUCGUCGGAGGGAUCUGAGUGGGAGCAUGGCCGUUGGGACCCGAAAGAUGGUGAACUAUGCCUGAAGAGGGUGAAGCCAGAGGAAACUCUGGUGGAGGCUCGCAGCGGUUCUGACGUGCAAAUCGAUCGUCACAUUUGGGCAUAGGGGCGAAAGACUAAUCGAACCAUCUAGUAGCUGGUUCCUGCCGAAGUUUCCCUCAGGA